AGUGAACACUGGCGGUAGGCCUAACACAUGCAAGUCGAACGGCAGCGCAGUAAGAGCUUGCUCUUACGGGUGGCGAGUGGCGGACGGGUGAGGAAUACAUCGGCAUCUACUUUUUCGUGGGGGAUAACGUAGGGAAACUUACGCUAAUACCGCAUACGACCUACGGGUGAAAGCAGGGGAUCUUCGGACCUUGCGCGUUUGAAUGAGCCGAUGUCGGAUUAGCUAGUUGGCGGGGUAAAGGCCCACCAAGGCGACGAUCCGUAGCUGGUCUGAGAGGAUGAUCAGCCACACUGGAACUGAGACACGGUCCAGACUCCUACGGGAGGCAGCAGUGGGGAAUAUUGGACAAUGGGCGCAAGCCUGAUCCAGCCAUACCGCGUGAGUGAAGAAGGCCUUCGGGUUGUAAAGCCCUUUUGUUGGGAAAGAAAAGCAGCAGGUUAAUACCCCGCUGUUCUGACGGUACCCAAAGAAUAAGCACCGGCUAACUUCGUG
rnacentral:rRNA from 1 species